GACGUCGCAUGUCUGGCUGCACUGCUCUGGGAACUUAGAGCAAAGGACCGGUGUGCAGGAUGCCCGAGUGACGCCCCCAUGAUCCCUCAGUUCGCCGGUUCUCCUGGCUUCCUCUGGGCAACUCUCAUUCCGGGUGCCCUCAUCCGCCCUGCCCCCUGGUGUCAGCCACACGCCUCCGCACCCUGCGCCGGCUUCCUGGGGUGGGGUGGGGUAGGUUGCAGGGAGUCCCAUCCCCCAUCUCCAGGGACUGAUGAUGUCUAGAUGGCUCUGACUCCAGAGGCCCUGGCAGUGGCCCCUCCAAAGGCCAUCUUGCACCUGUGACUACAUUUUGCCCUAGCAGUACUGAGACGUCUGCCUCUGUAGGACAGCUUGGAGCAAGAACUGGCCACCAAAGCAGUACGGGUGCUGAGCCUUUUGGUAGUCCAGAGACCUGGGGGUCUGGGGGUCUGGGCUAGUCCUUGCAUUACUAAACUAGUUGGUGCACCCGUGAUGGCGGACAAUGUCCCAGGCGCUCUGAACUCUCCUGCUUGGGGGUCUCCGUAGAAGGAGAAUAAGUGGAACCAGAUGAAACCCUCACCAGCUUUACUGUAAGCACAGAACAAGCCUCCUUUCACUGACGUCUGGAUUUACCCUCCUUCAGAAGAAAUCCCUGGACAUCUCACCAUGGAGUGGCCUCUGUGUCUCCUGCUCUCUGGAUCUGAGUGUCCUGCAUGCUUGCAAGUUUCUUCUGGCCUCUAGCAGAGACCCUUGGGAAGUUCCUUGUCACCACAUCCACUGAAUCCCACUGCAGUGAUUGACGCUCUGCCCUUUGGUGAAUGGAGAGAGGAGACAGGCUGCUGUUUCUCCUACCCAAGCCUAGCAGGCAAGAAAUUCCCAGCACUGGUUUGCUAAUGAUUGACAGAAAGUGGCUGAAGUCCCCACCUGCUGGUGAUGUGGUAACAAGGAUGGCCUGAUUGCUGGUGACAGCAUGGACAAGGAUGGCCCACCCGCUGGUGACAGCUU